UUUUUAUUUUUAUUUUUAUUUUUAUUUUUAUUCACUCUUGCGAAGUACUAUGUUACUAGUACCAGCACCGAUAAAGAGACGAGCACCAGCUGCAGCGUGAAUAGCAAAAGCAAAGCGAAAGAUAAUAGUAUGUUUCCAGUCAGCGUAGAGUUUAUAUUGUUCAUAAACAACGUGAAAAGGAAAAGCUGGCCAUAA
rnacentral:ribozyme from 14 species